CCUACGGGCGGCAGCAGUGAGGAAUAUUGGUCAAUGGGCGUAAGCCUGAACCAGCCAAGUCGCGUGAGGGAUGAAGGUUCUAUGGAUCGUAAACCUCAUUUAUAAGGGAAUAAAGUGUGGGACGUGUCCUAUUUUGUAUGUACCUUAUGAAUAAGGAACGGCUAACUACGUGCCAGCAGCAGCGGUAAUACGGAGGAUCCGAGCGUUAUCCGGAUUUAUUGGGUUUAAAGGGUGCGUAGGCGGCCUUUUAAGUCAGCGGUGAAAGUCUGUGGCUCAACCAUGGAAUUGCAGUUGAAAGUGGGGGGCUUGAGUCUGUUUGAGGCAGGCGGAAUUCGUGGUGUAGCGGUGAAAUGCUUAGAUAUCACGCAGAACCCCGAUUGCGAAGGCAGCCUGCCAAGCCAUGACUGACGCUGAUGCACGAAAGCGUGGGGAUCAAACAGGAUUAGAUACCCGAGUAGUC
rnacentral:rRNA from 1 species